rnacentral:rRNA from 1 species
AUUGAACGCUGGCGGCAGGCCUAACACAUGCAAGUCGAACGAGUGGCGGACGGGUGAGUAAUGUCUGGGAAACUGCCCGAUGGAGGGGGAUAACUACUGGAAACGGUAGCUAAUACCGCAUACCAUCGGAUGUGCCCAGAUGGGAUUAGCUAGUAGGUGGGGUAACGGCUCACCUAGGCGACGAUCCCUAGCUGGUCUGCGAGGAUGACCAGCCACACUGGAACUGAGACACGGUCCAGACUCCGACGGGAGGCAGCAGUGGGGAAGAUUGCACAAUGGGCGCAAGCCUGAUGCAGCCAUGCCGCGUGUAUGAUGAAGGCCUUAGGGUUGUAAAGUACUUUCAGCUGGGAGGCGUUAUUCGCAGAAGAAGCACCGGCUAACUCCGUGCCAGCAGCCGCGGUAAUUC